UAUGUCAGCAAGCCAGGACAGAAACUUGCACAGAACAUGGGCCUUCCAGAAGAUGAUGAGAUGCUUUUUGGUGUGUUUUCAGCCAGUAAAACUCCAUCUGGCAAAGAACCCCUGGAAAGCUCUGCCCUUUGUGUCUUCUCCAUGUCAGAAGUCGAUGCAGAAUUCAACAAAGUCCAGAAAGCCUGCUACACAGAAGAAGGCGGGGGGUAUUGCUGAACCACUCGAUUUUUGGUGGGGGUACUUGCCUCCAACAACAGGAGGAACUACUUGAACGAUUUCCAUGCGGCGCAGACUUUACCGCAAAACAGUUUGGAGGAACAGAAGCUCUGACCCGUACAGCUGUGGCAGAGUUCCCCACAACUGGACUGACGAGUGUCGCUGCUUCAACUGUCAACGGCUACACCGCAGCCUUCCUGGGGACAACCAAUGGCCAACUGAUCAAGGCGUUGGUGUGGAAUGGAGAUGCUGCAAACCCGUAUGAGGAGAUAACUGUGGUCCAGGGAAGCAGGGUUCAGCAGGACAUGCAGUUUGAUGCCUUUGACCCACAGAACUUGUACGUCAUGACGGAGAACAAGGUG